UACGUAGGUGGCAAGCGUUGUCCGGAUUUACUGGGCGUAAAGCGUGCGCAGGCGGUUAUGCAAGACAGAUGUGAAAUCCCCGGGCUCAACCUGGGAACUGCAUUUGUGACUGUAUAGCUAGAGUACGGUAGAGGGGGAUGGAAUUGCUGGUGUAGCGGUGAAAUGCGUAGAGAUCAGCAGGAACACCCGUGGCGAAGGCGGCCCCCUGGCCGGAACCUGACGCUGAGGCGCGAAGGCUAGGGGAGCGAACGGG
rnacentral:rRNA from 1 species